CGCAGGAUAGAGCAGAUGGUAGCUUGCUUGGCUCAUAACCAAGAGGUCGGAGGUUCAAGUCCUUCUCCUGCAA
rnacentral:tRNA from 1 species